UGGGAGACAAACGGUAUGGUCGUUGUUUGAUCGGUACUUGGCUGGUGGCAUAGAUGCGGUGUUGGAGAACCUCAGUACGUCCAGUACGGAGUGUGCAUACCUGAGGGCGGCCUUCCAGGAUUUGGAGUAACUGUAGCUUACCUUCCAAGGGUAAAUGAGCAGCGUCCACAGUUUUUUUUAUCAAUGCAUUUUCAUCAAUACUGUCAAGUGGUUGAAUUUGCAAUGGCGAUGAUAGAGGGGGAACAGAAGUUAACAAGGAAAGGUUUUGUGUGGCUGUUCUAAGUUGACUCCUCUCGUUUUGGGGACUUAGAUUUGGCACACUUGGAUUUCCUGGUUGAAAGGGGUACUCUUUUGAAGGAUCAAGCUUGAAGGAGUAUUUCUGAUCAAUGACAUUGAGUUGCAGGCCACUGAAGAAAAUAAAGUCCAACCCCAAGACUACAGCAUAGGCUAGAGCUUGGGAGGAAAGUACAGCAGUAGGUAAGGUAAAUGCUUGGUCAUGUAAAUUAAUUGUGGUGUACAGCCAUCCUAAUGGUGUCUCUGCUUUUCCAUUUGCCAGAUAAAGAGGACCACGAGACCAUGGUUGGAGCUGGUCUGGUGAGUUGCAGCAACAGAGUUGUUGGAAGGGUGACCACUUGACUUCGGGUGAUAAGGAUGUUUGCCGCUGGUGGAAUACUGUGGACCAGAUGUCUGAGGUGACUGUGGAGAGGUAUAGUGUGGACAUUUUCCUGGUGGAUGCUGUCCUCUACAUCUCCAACAUUGAACUGGGAUUUUCUCAGCAGUUGAUGUCCUAGUUUUACCAUCUCCUCCACAGUGUUCACUCGGCUACGUAAUUGGCUUGCAAGGUAUGGCUUUAUAUUCUUUAGUAUCAUCUUCACAAUCUCACCUUCUGUAAGAUCGGCCUUCCAUCUUUUACAGAGAGCUCUGUAAGAAAACGCAAAGUCUCUAAUAGUUUCUGUCUCUUUCUGAAUUCUAGUACGGAUAGGUUCUGCCAGUUCGUCCUCAUAAUCCUCAGAAAGGAAAGCAGAUAAGAAUGCAGCCUCAAACUCAUUCCAGGUGGUUAUGUUGGACCGUCUGACUUCCCACCAGUCACGUGCUGUUCCGUAUAGGACAGUACGGAAGGUAGCCAAGAUGUCUGCAUCUGUCAGGGGAUGUAAAGCCAUGAAAUCCUGACAUUUGGUUAAGUACAGUAGGGGGUCUGCAUCGUCUGAAGGCCUUCCAAAAGUGGGGAAAGUUAAUCUUAUAUGGUCACU